rnacentral:rRNA from 1 species
GACGAACGCUGGCGGCGUGCUUAACACAUGCAAGUCGAACGGAAAGGCCCUGCUUGCAGGGUCCUCGAGUGGCGAACGGGUGAGCAACACGGGGGUGCUCUGCCCUCCACUUUGGGGUAAGCGUUAGCAACUGGGUCUAUAACCUGAUAGGAGACAUGUUUUGCGUGUUGGAUGGAGAGAUUUUUCGGUGUCGGAUGAGCUCGCGGCCUAUCGGCGGGUUGGCGGGGUGAUGGCCUACAAAGGCGGCGAGGGGUAGCCGCACUGAGGGGGUGGGCGGCCACAUUGGGACUGACGUGCGGCCCAGACUCCUACGGGAGGAAGAAGGGGGGAAUCUUGCACAAGGGGCGCCGGCCUGAUGCAGAACGGCCGCGGGGGGGAUGGCGGCCUUCGGGUUGAAAACUCGUUUCGCUAGGGACGAACGUUUUUGUGACGGUACCUAGAGAAGAAGCACCGGCUAACUACGUG